ensembl:lncRNA
GGGGGGGAGGGGGGAGUUGCAGCUCCUGGCAAAUGCGCCAAAGUGUCCAGCCCCACCCUCGCGACCUCUAACCUCUCCUCGGACGGGAAGACCGGCGCGUUCCACGCAUGCUCAGUACGUCCGCGCAGAUUUCUGAAGCUCGAAUCCCGCGUGCGUUGUGUACGGCCCAGUGGAACAAAAACAGAAGAAGGAAGCCUGCUGGCACAGGUGCACAUACUCUGUGUCCUUGUGCUUUCUGGCUGCCAUGAGAUGAGCAGCUUUCUUUCACCAUGCUGUUCCACCAUGAUGUCCUACCUCACCUCAUGCCCAGAGUGAUGAAGCCAGCAGGCUAUGACUGAAAGCCCUAAAACUAUGAGCAAAAAUAACCUUUUCAUCGUUUAACCUGUUAUUCUCAGGUAUUUUGUCACAGUAACAGAAAGCUAACACGCCAUCUGUCAGAGCAAGAGUAGUGCCUCAAGACAAGCCUGUGGGUCUUUAAAAGAAGUAGAAACUGACCUCUCACUGACUUACUUAUAAGACCCACUCAGAGAUGCAGAGGUCACGACAGGCUCAAAUACUUCAUCAUGCUUGUGCAUAUUUAUGGGCAGGUCGCACUGCCAGUAGCACAGGGAUUUAAAUGUAAAUAAUAAAACGUUCUAAAGCAAAACAUACACAUUUGAACUUUUAGUUUGCCCUUUUUCCAUGGUGAGAUAAUCAUAAAAAUAGUGUGUAGGAAAUUCUUCAUAACUUUUACUGCCAUUACUGGCAUUAUUGACUAUUGUAAAUCAGUAGAAAUAUAAUUAAAGUGUACACACACAGAAAGAGUAUCAUUACUACCAGAGCUAAUGAAAAAAGAACGUGAAAAUGCUUUCUGAAUUUCAGAAAAUAAGCUGGAAAUACAAAAUAAAGUAGUGAUCAACAUGUGCCAGUUAAUUUUGAAAACUGAUCAACAGAUGCCAGUUAAUUUUGCUUAGCACUGCAACUGGUUUUUUUUCCUCCCAUGAUGCUAGAGAUCAAACCCAGACUCUCACGUAUACUAUGCAAGCAUUCUACCACUGAUCCCCAGCCCAGCUUUUCUUUUUUUUUUAAUGGAAAGCUAAUCUCACCUCUCUUUUAUCGGCGUCAUCAGUUCUCACCAGUGAUGAGUUGAAUUAUGACCCCCCCAAAAAUACACCAAGGUACCUCAGAAAGGGCUUAUUUCGAAAUGGGACUGUUGCAGAUGUGAUUAGUGAAGAGCUCUGGUGGGGCCCUUAAUCCAACAGAUUGGCAUCCUAUAAGCAGAAACGCAGACCCAGGACAGGAAGGCCCACAUGGUGACCGUGGCAAAGAUCUGAGGGAUGCUUCUUGGACCCAGGAUCUCCCAGAAUCACAGGCCACCAGGAGAAGCCAGAGAGAAACAAGGAAGAAUUCUCCCCAACAGGUUUCAGAGAGGACAUGACCCUUCCAACACCCUGAUUUUGAACUUUAGCUUCUAUAACUAUGAAAAAAAAUUUCUAUUGUUUUAAGUGCCUUUUAUGAUAGUCCUAGGAAAUGAAUACAGUCAGCUCUCUUUAUGUCUUAAAAUGUCUUGUUCUGUCUGUAGUUAUCCAUUUUCUCUUUCCUCUCCCUGAAUUUCCAUCUAGGUAAAAGCUAAAUUCAGACUCGCUUUUUGCUCAGCAACCAAAGGGCCACCAUGCUUUAUGAUUUAUAGCAACCCCAUUAUCCCACAAGUGACACUGCAUUCCGCCUCCAGGGUCUAUGAUAAGAUCAUGGACGCAAGAGUUGCACAGCACCCUGCCUGGGAAUACCAGUCUUGCAGGCUCCCUUCCAGUUGGACCGUCUGGUGUGCCUGGCUUUCCAGAGUGUGCGCCCAGCUCCCGGCUCCAUCCUCUGUGACAGCACCACAGCCCCAUCACUGUGGGCUCGCACAGGCCCUUCUACCAUGACGUUCCUGCCUCGGAGCCAGCUUACCAUGGGUUGAGACCUCUGAAACCAUGAGGCUCCUCAACAGCUAACAGAAGCUCAACCUCAAGAAAAUGGAAUCCCAUAUUCCAACCUGGACAUUUAGUACUGGUAAAGUCUCUUCCCUCAUCAUCUCCUCCGCUAGGACCAAUUUGGGAAGGAUCAUGCACUGUGAUCCUGUCAACACCAUCAGCUGUCAAGGUAGCAGGCCUGGACCCCUGGAUACACCACACUUGACACAAGCCCUGGGAAGCAGAAACUAUUGUGCUGCUAAGAUCAUUCUUCAUCAAGCUUGCUGAUACAUUUGGGCAAGAGUUUCUCUAGAAGGAGGUUGCUGGACUAGAGGAUAGAACCUUGACGGAUCCUCUGCAUCCAAGCCACAAAUGAGGGAAGAGAGACACACGGAGAAACCGAAGGAGAAUAUCACUUCUCUCCACACAUCACUGGUCAAGGCCAGCUACAGGACCCCACCAAGACAGCAGAAGCCAGGAAAAUGUCUGGCUAUAUGAGCAGGUAGAAGACAGCCUAAUACCAAGCACUGGCAGCCUUGGUUAUACAAGUUCCAUACAAGAACAAGAUGUAUUUUUAACAACAAACAUAUCAAAGCAAACACUGACCCCACCCUUCUACCCUUCUGCCACAUUAUGAUGUACCACAAGGACCCUCAGAAGCCAAGCAAAUGCCAGCACCGGGCCCUGGGACUUCCCCAUCUCCAGAGCCAUGAGACAAAAUGAACUUCUUUCCUAUAGGAUUUGCCCAGUGACUGAAACAGCUACUUUGUCCCUGUCCUCACCAUCUGGUGUCAGUGGGUUUUGCUCCAAUUAGAUUACUUGGGACUCCCAAGUGUCUUCCUUGUUGGGAAGGAACCACUCACUACCACCACCAUUCUCCUUACAGGUGAUAAUUUGAGUUGUUUUCCUUGAAUGGCCCUCCUUCCUCCUUCUAGCCAAUGUGGGGUUGCUUUUGAGUAAAUUGGAUUUUAUAAAAAGUAAAUGGUGUUUAAAGGACUAUUCACUCCUCCCACAUAAUUAAAGGUAUCUUGGGGCUCUUCCCUUUGGGGACCUUCACUUCCAUAGCUUUAUCUCUCAUCUAAACACAAAUGGCUCUUCAAUGUAAAUUCUUGCCCUGGCUUUUCUCCUGAUAAGCCAUUUUUCUUGUUCUCUGAGGC